UACGUAGGUGGCGAGCGUUGUCCGGAAUUAUUGGGCGUAAAGGGCGCGUAGGCGGUUGUUUAAGUCAGGUGUGAAAGCCCCCGGCUCAACUGGGGAGAGCCACCUGAUACUGGGCGACUAGAGUGCAGGAGAGGAAAGUGGAAUUCCAUGUGUAGCGGUGAAAUGCGUAGAUAUAUGGAGGAACACCAGUGGCGAAGGCGGCUUUCUGGACUGCAACUGACGCUGAGGCGCGAAAGCUGGGGGAGCAAACGGG
rnacentral:rRNA from 1 species